UUUCCGGUUGAUCCCGCCGGACCUGACUGCUAUCGGAUUGAUACUAAGCCAUGCGAGUCUUUGUAGUAAUACAAGGCAGACGGCUCAGUAACACGUAGUCAACCUACCCUAUGGACAAGAAUAAUCUCGGGAAACUGGGCAUAAUUCUUGAUAGAUCAUAAUGCCUGGAAUGGUUUAUGGUUAAAAUGAUUCGUCGCCAUAGGAUGGGACUGCGGCCUAUCAGCUUGUUGGUGAGGUAAUGGCCCACCAAGGCGAUUACAGGUACGGGCUCUGAGAGGAGAAGCCCGGAGAUGGGUACUGAGACACGGACCCAGGCCCUAUGGGGCGCAGCAGGCGAGAAAACUUUGCAAUGUGCGAAAGCACGACAAGGUUAAUCCGAGUGAUUUCUGCUAAAGAAAUCUUUUGCCAGUCAUAAAACCACUGGUGAAUAAGGGGUGGGCAAGUUCUGGUGUCAGCCGCCGCGGUAAAACCAGCACCUCAAGUGGUCAGGAUGAUUAUUGGGCCUAAAGCAUCCGUAGCCGGCUUUGUAAGUUUUCGGUUAAAUCCAUGCGCUCAACGCAUGGGCUGCCGAAAAUACUGCAUGGCUAGGGAGUGGGAGAGGUAGACGGUACUCAGUAGGAAGGGGUAAAAUCCUUUGAUCUAUUGAUGACCACCUGUGGCGAAGGCGGUCUACCAGAACACGUUCGACGGUGAGGGAUGAAAGCUGGGGGAGCAAACCGGAUUAGAUACCCGGGUAGUCCCAGCUGUAAACGAUGCAGACUCGAUGAUGCAUUGGCAUAAUAGCCAGUGCAGUGUCGCAGGGAAGCCGUUAAGUCUGCCGCCUGGGAAGUACGUACGCAAGUAUGAAACUUAAAGGAAUUGGCGGGGGAGCACCACAAGGGGUGAAGCCUGCGGUUCAAUUGGAUUCAACGCCGGGA
rnacentral:rRNA from 1 species